rnacentral:rRNA from 1 species
GUCCAGACUCCUACGGGAGACAGCAGUGGGGAAUAUUGCACAAUGGGGGAAACCCUGAUGCAGCAACGCCGCGUGAGCGAUGAAGUAUUUCGGUAUGUAAAGCUCUAUCAGCAGGGAAGAAAAUGACGGUACCUGACUAAGAAGCCCCGGCUAACUACGUGCCAGCAGCCGCGGUAAUACGUAGGGGGCAAGCGUUAUCCGGAUUUACUGGGUGUAAAGGGAGCGUAGACGGCGGUGCAAGCCAGAUGUGAAAGCCCGGGGCUCAACCCCGGGACUGCUCUUGGAACUGCGCGGCUGGAGUGCAGGAGGGGCAGGCGGAAUUCCUGGUGUAGCGGUGAAAUGCGUAGAUAUCAGGAGGAACACCGGUGGCGAAGGCGGCCUGCUGGACUGCGACUGACGUUGAGGCCCGAAAGCGUGGGGAGCAAACAGGAUUAGAUACCCUCGUA